rnacentral:rRNA from 1 species
UACGUAGGUGGCAAGCGUUGUCCGGAUUUACUGGGCGUAAAGAGCGCGCAGGCGGCUGAUUAAGUCGAAUGUGAAAGCCCCCGGCUCAACUGGGGAGGGUCAUUCGAUACUGAUCAACUUGAAGGCAGGAGAGAGAAGUGGAAUUCCCGGUGUAGUGGUGAAAUGCGUAGAUAUCGGGAGGAACACCGGCGGCGAAGGCGGCUCACUGGUCCAUUACUGACGCUGAGGUGCGAAAGCGUGGGGAGCAAACAGG